rnacentral:rRNA from 1 species
GACGAACCGUGCAAACGUUGUUCGGAAUCAUUGGGCGUAAAGAGCGUGUAGGCGGCCCGGUAAGUCCGCUGUAAAAGUCAAAGGCUCAACCUUUGAAUGUCAGUGGAUACUGCCGGGCUAGAGUCCGGAAGAGGCGAGUGGAACUCCUGGUGUAGCGGUGGAAUGCGCAGAUAUCAGGAAGAACACCAACGGCGAAGGCAGCUCGCUGGGACGGUACUGACGCUGAGACGCGAAAGCGUGGGGAGCGAACAGG